rnacentral:rRNA from 1 species
AUGGAGGGGUUCCAGUGGAGCAGGCCCGUCUCCUUGCUCCUGUAUGCCGUCUUCUUCCUGGCGGCGGCGGCCGUGUCGGAGACCAACAUCGGCGAGUUCGACGAGUACUGGCAGCGGCGCCAGCUGGAGGCCAGAGCCCGCGCGGAGGCUGCCUACCAUCCCAACCCCAUCGAGGUCGCCAACAGCCUGAACCGCGCCGUCCACAGAGCCGUUCGGGAGGAGAGCGGGUCGAGGAGGAAGUUGCUGGGACUGCACAAGAAGUUCGCUGGGCCGUGCACGGCGACGAACCCGAUCGACCGGUGCUGGCGGUGCCGCGACGACUGGGCGACGGACCGGAUGCGUCUGGCGCGGUGCGCGCAGGGGUUCGGGAGGCACGCCACGGGCGGGCUGGGCGGGAAGAUCUACAUCGUCACGGACGGCGACGACGACGACGUGCUGGAGCCGCGGCCGGGCACGCUCCGGUGGGCCGUGAUCCAGAAUGAGCCCCUGUGGAUCAUCUUCGCCAGGCCCAUGCUGAUCAAGCUCAAGGAGGAGCUGUUGGUCGGCAGCAACAAGACCAUCGACGGGCGCGGCGUGCAGCUGCGCAUCGCCGAUGGCGCGCAGGUGACCGUGCAGUAUGCGCACAACGUGAUCAUCCACAACAUCCACGUCAACGACCUCAUCGUGGGCAAGGGCGGCAGGAUCCGGGACUCGCCGCAGCACGCCGGGUUCCGCACCCAGUCCGACGGCGACGGCGUGAGCGUCUUCGGCUCCACCGACGUGUGGCUCGACCACCUCUCCCUCGCCACCUGCCAGGACGGCCUCAUCGACGUCAUCGACCAGUCCACCGGCGUCACCAUCUCCAACUGCCACCUCACAAACCACAACGACGUCAUGCUCUUCGGCUCCAGCGACAGCAACCCCAAGGACGAGAUCAUGCAGAUCACCGUCGCCUUCAACCACUUCGGAAGAGGGCUCGUGCAGAGAAUGCCAAGGUGCCGAUGGGGAUUCUUCCACGUGGUGAACAACGACUACACCCACUGGCUCAUGUACGCCAUCGGCGGCAGCAAGAACCCGACCAUCAUCAGCCAGGGGAACCGCUACAUCGCGCCGCCGAACCUGGCGGCGAAGCUGAUCACGAAGCGGCUGUACGCGGAGGAGUCGGAGUGGAAGAACUGGGUGUGGCACUCGGAGGGGGACCUGAUGCUCAACGACGCCGUCUUCACCGACAGCGGCGGCCCCAACCAGAGGAAGUUCGAGAAGGACGACCUCAUCCCGCCCAAGCCGGGAUCGUACGUCACCAGGCUCACACGCUUCGCCGGCUGCUUGCCGUGCAAGCCCGGCAAGCCCUGCUAA